AUAAAAUUGUAAAAAGAUGGACAAAAAGUAUACACAAAAAGAAAAAUGAAAGAGAAAAGAGAGACAUUGAUGGGGAAAUAAGGGAAGUGGGAGCGAAGGCCCUCGUGGGAGAUGAUGCGAAGCCACACUCACUCAGCCCUAUUCUCUUCAGCACUCACCACUCAACACAACCACAAAGUUUUAGUCCUUUUGUUCCUCUUUUCAUUUACCGUUUUAUAAGGUCCAUCCUAAGUUGACAGAUCUAUAUUAUGUUUGAUCGUGCAACGUUUAAUCUAUUUUUUUUAUUGAAGAUGUUGCUGAUAAUUUACUUUGUGGUAAUCAGGCUAGCAUUCUGCGACCGAUAAUAGUUUCUAUUUUUUUAUUGUUAUGGCAUUACUAAAUACUACUAAACAAGUUUAUACUAUUCCUCUGACUAUUUUAGUGAUAUAAUAUAUAACCUAAUUUAGUUCUAAAUGUGAAAGUGUUCUAUAUACUGUAAAAAAUUUCAUAACGUUUAAUAAAUGUGAAAGUGUUAGAGCAUCAGCAAUGGUGUGCUCUCACACAAGCUCUCUUUAUUAAAUAUAAAUACAAUUAAUUAUAAAUUAAGAGAGAGAAUGUAGAAGCGUUCUAUACCAAGAACAUGUUCUAACAAAUAUUCUAGAUGUGUCAUCAUUCUAAUGGUCUAUGUUAGGCCUGGGCGUUUUUAACUUAAUCCGAAGUAUCUACCUAGAUCCGAAUCAGAAAAACCAAAACCGAAUUCGAACUGUUAUACAAAAAUAUCCGAACGGGACUUAUGAGCUUAGUACUUUGGUGUUUGGUUAUAAUCCGAACCGAACCGGCAUCCGAACUAGGAUCCGAAGAUAUCCGAAAUUAGUUAAAUAUGUUAAAGUUUGUAUAUAUUUAAGAUGAUUUAGAUAUUUUAAGAUAUUCAAAAUAUUUUUUUAGUUUGUUUUAAUUGUUAUUUUGAAUACUUUUUAGUUAAUUUAGAUAAUUUAACUAAUUUUUAAUUAGAUUUGUAAAUAAUUUAUAUAUUUAGAAAAAAAAUUGUCAAUUUUUAAGGUUUUAAAAAAAUAUUUUUGGACGAUUUUAAACAUUGGUUACAUCCGAUCCGAACCGAACCCGAAAGAAACCGAACCGAAACCGAUCUGAUAAUUAGUAAAAUCUGAAUGGUAUUUCAUUAUCAUUUUGGGUUCGGGUAUCCGUUCGGAUGCUUUAUCCGUUCGGGUGGGCGUUCGGGUCCUUAAUAAAAUGAGGGACCCACUAAAUAUUUUAAUAUUAUUUUGUUAAGGAUUUUGGCAUAAAAUCCGCUGUUGCGGUUGGUCUAACUGUCCUUUAGUCUUAGACAAUUAAGGUCACGUCUUGCGAAAUUCUUCUUUUCUAGAGCUUGGGCGGAUAAGAGUAAUUCUUAAACCAUCAAAUGAUUUGUCAGGGUAAUUUGUUUUCCCUAUAUGUUAUGUAUAUUUUCCCUCUGGUCUAUUAUUUCCUCUAUCGAUCUUUGUAUAGUUGGUAAUAGAUACUUUGGUCCUCGCUCACAUAUGCAAUGUGAUAAUGACUAGGUUCAACAUCAAUAUUAUAUUCUGUUUUUAGAUGGGUCUAGUAUAUAGCAAUAAAUCAUAAUAAUGCAAUGUAUAUUCUAUAUACUAUUCUUAUUUUUUAAAAUAAAAUUGUAAAAAGAUGGACAAAAAGUAUACACAAAAAGAAAAAUGAAAGAGAAAAGAGAGACAUUGAUGGGGAAAUAAGGGAAGUGGGAGCGAAGGCCCUCGUGGGAGAUGAUGCGAAGCCACACUCACUCAGCCCUAUUCUCUUCAGCACUCACCACUCAACACAACCACAAAGUUUUAGUCCUUUUGUUCCUCUUUUCAUUUACCGUUUUAUAAGGUCCAUCCUAAGUUGACAGAUCUAUAUUAUGUUUGAUCGUGCAACGUUUAAUCUAUUUUUUUUAUUGAAGAUGUUGCUGAUAAUUUACUUUGUGGUAAUCAGGCUAGCAUUCUGCGACCGAUAAUAGUUUCUAUUUUUUUAUUGUUAUGGCAUUACUAAAUACUACUAAACAAGUUUAUACUAUUCCUCUGACUAUUUUAGUGAUAUAAUAUAUAACCUAAUUUAGUUCUAAAUGUGAAAGUGUUCU
rnacentral:lncRNA from 1 species